GGCCCAGAAUUAAUACAGUGGCCCAAUUUCUAUAUCUCUUUUUUUUAAAAGAGGCGCAAUCUAGAUUUAAAUGGGCAUAGCCCAAAUUCCACUCCCUAUCUCCAUCGGCUCCCUCUCACUCCCCCAUUCCUCCUUUCACUGCAUCACCCUCUCUCAAUUUCCUCUCUAAGACCGCCCCAGCCCAGUCGCCCUUCCCGACGGGUUUUACAAAGCCGUCGCCCCGGCGGUCGAUCUUUGGUCAUCGUUUGCUGUCAUCCCCAGCCAUCGCCGCUGAUGUGAGGCCGUCCUUCUCGUCGACCCAGCGCCAUCGGAGCAGGCAAGAGGAGCACCUCCAUCGAGCUUGACCGCGGUCGGCCGUGCUGCCAUUGUCAUGCACUCGACACCCUCUGACCACACGGUCUUCUUCAGCACAGCCGGCGCAUGCCCAGCAGCCUCACGGCAGCUCCGGUACCCCAAGCUAAGUCUCGCUCUUAGUUAACUUAUACGCUUCGAUUUAUGUAGCAAUUACAUGAUAAUUGGACUUGAGAAUCUAUGUGUGCUCUUCAUCUAUUGGGCCCUAUCAGAUUGUUCUUGGCCGCGAGAGUUGAGCUUCGAACUCUAAUAGUUCACUAUUAUCGGUUAUUGGUUGUUGAUGUUGUUGCUUAAUUGCUUUAGUUAUGAUGAUAUACAUGCUCCUAUUAUUGAUGUUUGUGGACGAGAGUCCUUCACUUAUAUGAGGUGAUGAUGUUUGGAAAAGGGAAGGGCAAGUGGUUGUGUUACCUCUUGAAGGGCUGGUUGCUGUUGUCUUUUAGGCUGUGAAAUUCGGCCAAUCACGGUUAGGAGCCGCCUGCAGAAUCCUUGCAGCAAGCUUCACUAGAGUCCUCUUCUUCCAACGAAAUGGGAGGCUGAAAACCGAAUGUGAUGAGGGGAAAGUAUGGGGCUGCCUAUAUAGAGGGAAUCGUGUACUCGUGAGGGCUCUGAUUGGCCUGCUGUGAUCUUGUCUCAUUGGCUGCACUUUAACUGCAUUUGGCACUUUGUGAGUGCUUAGUACCUUAGUCCAUUUAUGAGGUUCGUUUGCUUAUGGCAGGUGCACACAGAGGCAGUGGCAGUUGGGAGAGGCAGCCUUGUGUGGUCCACCGCAUGCUUGAUCCGGCUGGGAACUCAGGGUGGUAGGCUGGCCUUGCCUUCUUGGGUGAGGCUCAUUCUCAAACGUUGAAAGGAACGGAGCAGAUUAUACACGGCUGCCACCACGACGUUCCGGCCCGACGGCUGUCCUACAAUUGGGCCAAAACCGGGCCUGAAGAAGGGCCCAAAUCGGCGUCCCUAGUGUUGUAAUAGAAAAGAGGCUCCCUUUGUUAUUUUUUUUUCUCUGUCGAUCCCUUCUUAAUAAGUGUAGUCGAGCGUCUUAGCUCGAGAAUAAAAUCUAAGACGUCUUUCUCGACCCCCUUGUAAAUUAUUCUUCUUCCCUUCUUUAUUAUGUUAUCCUUUUUGUAACCUA